UGUCGGUUAUCGACGGCAACUCGAGGACGUUGUUUUCAUACCAGUAAACAUAUGAUUCACAUAUAAAACGGCACGUUUUAAAUUAUUGUUUUAUUUAGUGCAAUACGAAAUUAAAAGUGAUAUUAUGAGCCACACUAUCAUCAAAUAUGGAUUUCAGAAUAUCCAUGCAGAAUUCAUUUGCUGAAAAUCUGUGUCGAAAGGGUAUAAACUAUUCCAAAGCCAUCAUGUUCAGUAGGUCGUCCAAAUUGAUGAUGAAGCUGGUGGAGAACGAAUCGUUCGUGGGAAAGUAAUACCACAGACGAGAGUACAUAAUCCGCCGUACGAAGUGAAAUUAGAGGAACUUUGCAUCUAUACAUGCAAAACAGAAAUGAAAAAUGUAGAUGUAUCUCCUUAUGUUAGACUGCUUGCCACCAAUAAAAUGAGCACUGCAGAUCCGAGUGUUCUUAUUCG